GCUGGUGUAGCACAGGGGUAGUGCAGCUGAUUCGUAAUCAGCAGGUCGAGAGUUCGAAUCUCUCCACCAGCUCCA
rnacentral:tRNA from 2 species